UAAUACGAAGGGGGCUAGCGUUGCUCGGAAUUACUGGGCGUAAAGGGCGCGUAGGCGGAUAGUUUAGUCAGAGGUGAAAGCCCAGGGCUCAACCUUGGAAUUGCCUUUGAUACUGGCUAUCUUGAGUAUGGAAGAGGUAUGUGGAACUCCGAGUGUAGAGGUGAAAUUCGUAGAUAUUCGGAAGAACACCAGUGGCGAAGGCGACAUACUGGUCCAUUACUGACGCUGAGGCGCGAAAGCGUGGGGAGCAAACA
rnacentral:rRNA from 1 species